GAUGAACGCUGGCGGUGUGCCUAAUACAUGCCAGUCGAGCGAACAGACGAGGAGCUUGCUCCUCUGACGUUAGCGGCGGACGGGUGAGUAACACGUGGAUAACCUACCUAUAAGACUGGGAUAACUUCGGGAAACCGGAGCUAAUACCGGAUAAUAUAUUGAACCGCAUGGUUCAAUAGUGAAAGACGGUUUUGCUGUCACUUAUAGAUGGAUCCGCGCCGCAUUAGCUAGUUGGUAAGGUAACGGCUUACCAAGGCAUCGAUGCGUAGCCGACCUGAGAGGGUGAUCGGCCACACUGGAACUGAGACACGGUCCAGACUCCUACGGGAGGCAGCAGUAGGGAAUCUUCCGCAAUGGGCGAAAGCUUGACGGAGCAACGCCGCGUGAGUGAUGAAGGUCUUCGGAUCGUAAAACUCUGUUAUUAGGGAAGAACAAAUGUGUAAGUAACUAUGCACGUCUUGACGGUACCUAAUCAGAAAGCCACGGCUAACUACGUG
rnacentral:rRNA from 1 species